GAUGAACGCUGGCGGCGUGCCUAAUACAUGCAAGUCGAGCGAACGGACGAGAAGCUUGCUUCUCUGAUGUUAGCGGCGGACGGGUGAGUAACACGUGGAUAACCUACCUAUAAGACUGGGAUAACUUCGGGAAACCGGAGCUAAUACCGGAUAAUAUUUUGAACCGCAUGGUUCAAAAGUGAAAGACGGUCUUGCUGUCACUUAUAGAUGGAUCCGCGCUGCAUUAGCUAGUUGGUAAGGUAACGGCUUACCAAGGCAACGAUGCAUAGCCGACCUGAGAGGGUGAUCGGCCACACUGGAACUGAGACACGGUCCAGACUCCUACGGGAGGCAGCAGUAGGGAAUCUUCCGCAAUGGGCGAAAGCCUGACGGAGCAACGCCGCGUGAGUGAUGAAGGUCAUCGGAUCGUAAAACUCUGUUAUUAGGGAAGAACAUAUGUGUAAGUAACUGUGCACAUCUUGACGGUACCUAAUCAGAAAGCCACGGCUAACUACGUGCCAGCAGCCGCGGUAAUACGUAGGUGGCAAGCGUUAUCCGGAAUUAUUGGGCGUAAAGCGCGCGUAGGCGGUUUUUUAAGUCUGAUGUGAAAGCCCACGGCUCAACCGUGGAGGGUCAUUGGAAACUGGAAAACUUGAGUGCAGAAGAGGAAAGUGGAAUUCCAUGUGUAGCGGUGAAAUGCGCAGAGAUAUGGAGGAACACCAGUGGCGAAGGCGACUUUCUGGUCUGUAACUGACGCUGAUGUGCGAAAGCGUGGGGAUCAAACAGGAUUAGAUACCCUGGUAGUCCACGCCGUAAACGAUGAGUGCUAAGUGUUAGGGGGUUUCCGCCCCUUAGUGCUGCAGCUAACGCAUUAAGCACUCCGCCUGGGGAGUACGACCGCAAGGUUGAAACUCAGAGGAAUUGACGGGGACCCGCACAAGCGGUGGAGCAUGUGGUUUAAUUCGAAGCAACGCGAAGAACCUUACCAAAUCUUGACAUCCUUUGACAACUCUAGAGAUAGAGCCUUCCCCUUCGGGGGACAAAGUGACAGGUGGUGCAUGGUUGUCGUCAGCUCGUGUCGUGAGAUGUUGGGUUAAGUCCCGCAACGAGCGCAACCCUUAAGCUUAGUUGCCAUCAUUAAGUUGGGCACUCUAAGUUGACUGCCGGUGACAAACCGGAGGAAGGUGGGGAUGACGUCAAAUCAUCAUGCCCCUUAUGAUUUGGGCUACACACGUGCUACAAUGGACAAUACAAAGGGCAGCGAAACCGCGAGGUCAAGCAAAUCCCAUAAAGUUGUUCUCAGUUCGGAUUGUAGUCUGCAACUCGACUACAUGAAGCUGGAAUCGCUAGUAAUCGUAGAUCAGCAUGCUACGGUGAAUACGUUCCCGGGUCU
rnacentral:rRNA from 1 species